GGUGGUAUAGCUCAAUGGCACAGUGCUUGCCUUACAUGCACAAGGCCCUGGGUUCUAUUCCCAGCACCACAA
rnacentral:tRNA from 1 species